UAAGCAUGUUUCUGGUUAAUACAAAGCUAUCGAGAAAAAAAUUAAGUAGUUUUACAAAGCAGGAGGGUUCUCCGACUUACGAUGGGUGAAUUGUGUGCCAUAAAAACUUGGGUGCGAGUGCCAACGAGGAAAAUUUCGAUCAAAGUACAGAUUUUUUUUAAAUCAGAGGACGAUAAUGUUAUUAUCAGCUGAUUAUACUUGUAGAGGAGGAGUUUUGUCAGUGUCCGAUGGGUACCAACAUCAUAUAUACUGUGGCUGCAUCACUUUUGUUUGGCAGAAGUACAAGAGAACAUGGUUGAGGAACACAGCUGAAAGAUGCAGUUGCUUUAAGCAGUGUCUAAGACGUUGAUCAACAUUCUUCAUAAUGCAAAUCAAAUACAGGUUAUUGUCUGCACAUCUUGCAUUGGAUGUUUUGAUCGAGAACUCAUCGAGCAUCAAGACCCGCCAUGUACCUAUCCUGUCAUGACAUUAUUAAAGUACUCUGUGACAGUGGGAAGAUGUAAUUUAAACAUGACAUGGCUCUAUGUUACUGCAUCAGAUAUCGAU